rnacentral:misc_RNA from 1 species
AACUUUUGACAAUGGAUCACUUGGUUCUGGCAUCGAUGAAGAACGCAGCGAAAUGCGAUAAGUAGUGUGAAUUGCAGAAUUCCGUGAAUCAUCGAAUUUUUGAACGCACAUUGCGCCUAUUGGUAUUCCAAUAGGCAUGCCUGUUCGAGCGUCAUUUCAAACCUUCAAGCCUUGCUUGGUGUUGGGUGCUGUCUCAGUUGUAAUUUCUGCAGACUCACCUUGAAUUAAUUGGCAGCCAGCAAUUGGGUGUUGGAACGCAGCACAUUUCGCGUUCUCAGCCACAGUUAUUGGCGUCCAAGAAGCUUAUUUUUAACGUUUGACCUCGGAUCAGGUAGGGAUACCCGCUGAACUUAAGCAUAUCAAUAAGCGGAGGCU